rnacentral:rRNA from 1 species
CUCGAUGUCCGGGGCCGCACGCGCGCUACACUGAAGGAAUCAGCGUGUGCUUCCCCUGUCCGGUAGGACUGGGUAACCCGUUGAGCCUCCUUCGUGAUAGGGAUAGGGGCUUGUAAUUGUUCCCCUUGAACGAGGAAUGUCUAGUAAGCGCGAGUCAUAAGCUCGUGCUGAUUACGUCCCUGCCCUUUGUGCACACCGCCCGUCGCUACUACCGAUUGAAUGAUUUAGUGAGGUCUUCGGACUGGCGCCCGAACYUCGGACACCCGUCCGGGCCGCGGUGCCGGAAAGAUGACCGAACUUGAUUAUUUAGAGGAAGUAAAAGUCGUAACAAGGUAGCC